CUCAGCAGCAUACCACCCUGCAUCUCACUGAUGGCUUGCUUCUGAAGCUAAGCAGGGUUGGUGCUGCUCACUCCCUGGAUGGGAGACCAGAUGCUGCUGGAA
rnacentral:rRNA from 1 species